rnacentral:rRNA from 1 species
AUUGAACGCUGGCGGCAUGCCUUACACAUGCAAGUCGAACGGCAGCACGGACUUCGGUCUGGUGGCGAGUGGCGAACGGGUGAGUAAUGUAUCGGAACGUACCUUUCAGUGGGGGAUAACGUAGCGAAAGUUACGCUAAUACCGCAUAUUCUGUGAGCAGGAAAGCAGGGGAUCGAAAGACCUUGCGCUGAUUGAGCGGCCAAUAUCAGAUUAGCUAGUUGGUGGGGUAAAGGCCUACCAAGGCGACGAUCUGUAGCGGGUCUGAGAGGAUGAUCCGCCACACUGGAACUGAGACACGGUCCAGACUCCUACGGGAGGCGGCAGUGGGGAAUUUUGGACAAUGGGGGCAACCCUGAUCCAGCCAUGCCGCGUGAGUGAAGAAGGCCUUCGGGUUGUAAAGCUCUUUCGGCCGGGAAGAAAUCGCAUAGGCUAAUACCCUGUGUGGAUGACGGUACCGGAAUAAGAAGCACCGGCUAACUACGUG